GAUCAUGGCUCAGAUUGAACGCUGGCGGCAGGCCUAACACAUGCAAGUCGAACGGUAACAGGAAACAGCUUGCUAUUUCGCUGACGAGUGGCGGACGGGUGAGUAAUGUCUGGGAAACUGCCUGAUGGAGGGGGAUAACUACUGGAAACGGUAGCUAAUACCGCAUAACGUCGCAAGACCAAAGAGGGGGGACCCUUCGGGCCGUCUUGCCAUCGGAUGUGCCCAGAUGGGAUUAGCUAGUAGGUGGGG
rnacentral:rRNA from 1 species